GAUGAAGAACGUAGCGAAAUGCGAUAACUAAUGUGAAUUGCAGAAUUCCGUGAAUCAUUGAGUCUUUGAACGCACAUUGCACCCUCUGGUAUUCCGGGGGGUAUGCCUGUCCGAGCGUCAUUUCACCACUCAAGCCUGGCUUGGUGUUGGGCGACGUCCCCUUUGGGGACGCGCCUUGAAACGCUCGGCGGCGUGGCACCGGCUUUAAGCGUAGCAGAAUCUUUCGCUUUGGAAGUCGGGGCCCCGUCUGCCGGAAGACCUACUCGCAAGGUUGACCUCGGAUCAGGCAGGGAUACCCGCUGAACUUAAGCAUAUCAAUAAGCGGAGGA
rnacentral:misc_RNA from 1 species